AUUGAACGCUGGCGGCAGGCCUAACACAUGCAAGUCGAGCGGUAGAGAGAAGCUUGCUUCUCUUGAGAGCGGCGGACGGGUGAGUAAUGCCUAGGAAUCUGCCUGGUAGUGGGGGAUAACGUUCGGAAACGGACGCUAAUACCGCAUACGUCCUACGGGAGAAAGCAGGGGACCUUCGGGCCUUGCGCUAUCAGAUGAGCCUAGGUCGGAUUAGCUAGUUGGUGAGGUAAUGGCUCACCAAGGCGACGAUCCGUAACUGGUCUGAGAGGAUGAUCAGUCACACUGGAACUGAGACACGGUCCAGACUCCUACGGGAGGCAGCAGUGGGGAAUAUUGGACAAUGGGCGAAAGCCUGAUCCAGCCAUGCCGCGUGUGUGAGGAAGGUCUUCGGAUUGUAAAGCACUUUAAGUUGGGAGGAAGGGUUGUAGAUUAAUACUCUGCAAUUUUGACGUUACCGACAGAAUAAGCACCGGCUAACUCUGUGCCAGCAGCCGCGGUAAUACAGAGGGUGCAAGCGUUAAUCGGAAUUACUGGGCGUAAAGCGCGCGUAGGUGGUUUGUUAAGUUGGAUGUGAAAUCCCCGGGCUCAACCUGGGAACUGCAUUCAAAACUGACUGACUAGAGUAUGGUAGAGGGUGGUGGAAUUUCCUGUGUGGCGGUGAAAUGUUUUUUAUUUCUGAAGGCACAUCAGUGUCGAAAUCCGCCCUCUGGACC
rnacentral:rRNA from 1 species